rnacentral:rRNA from 1 species
GACGGACGCUGGCGGCGUGCCUAAUACAUGCAAGUAGAACGCUGAAGAGAGGAGCUUGCUCUUCUUGGAUGAGUUGCGAACGGGUGAGUAACGCGUAGGUAACCUGCCUUGUAGCGGGGGAUAACUAUUGGAAACGAUAGCUAAUACCGCAUAACAAUGGAUGACACAUGUCAUUUAUUUGAAAGGGGCAAUUGCUCCACUACAAGAUGGACCUGCGUUGUAUUAGCUAGUAGGUGAGGUAAUGGCUCACCUAGGCGACGAUACAUAGCCGACCUGAGAGGGUGAUCGGCCACACUGGGACUGAGACACGGCCCAGACUCCUACGGGAGGCAGCAGUAGGGAAUCUUCGGCAAUGGGGGCAACCCUGACCGAGCAACGCCGCGUGAGUGAAGAAGGUUUUCGGAUCGUAAAGCUCUGUUGUAAGUCAAGAACGGGUGUGAGAGUGGAAAGUUCACACUGUGACGGUAGCUUACCAGAAAGGGACGGCUAACUACGUG